AGAUGCUGAUCCAGAUCCUGUCCCUCUAUCUGAUGCAGUACCAAAAGUGGAUGCAGGUUGAGGAGAAUGUAAAUGUGAUACCGCAGGUCGUGGAGCUGGAGUAUGACGGUGCGGACAAUGAGUGUGACGGUGAGGAGGUGGAAGGGGACGGGGAGGCAAUGCAUCGGUACAUGGUGGAACUGGUGGACCUGGUCGAUCCCUAUGACAUGGCUGUACACCAGAUGCAAGUGGUACCCAUAUCUGAAGCUCUGUAUCCCCAAGUCCCGUCGAUGCC
rnacentral:lncRNA from 1 species